rnacentral:sRNA from 1 species
UUAACUGAAACGCCGAAUCCAACAGGUACGGAGUAACAUUUUACGGGGUGAAAAGCGUAAGCGCUAGGUUUAGCCUUAACCCUGUCCCGUUAGCUAACUCCGGAGGCGAGAAAGGCGGACAA